GACUUAUGAAUUAAACGCAAUCAUUCAUAUCUAUCGAAUCGCUCGGAUAUGUCACAACAACGAUCUGAUCAAAAUACAAUAAAAAAAGAAAUUCCGUCAAUUUAUUUAUCAUUUACUCAUUCAAUAAAAUCGUACAAUUCCCACGAAUGUAACUACUUAUGUCGAAGCUUACAAAGAGGGCCGUCUUACCGCUAACAAUACAAAGUACGCGUGCGCCGCCGGUGCGGUACGGGCGCGGUAUCGGCGCGGGCCGACCUACGGGCGCCGCGGGGACGGGCCGCUAGUAGCGGCGCCGCCCGUCCCGCGCGCGCGCCGCCCCGCCGCCGCUACAACAUCACGCCACGCGCGUCAGACGCUGCCGCCCGACAGCGAGCAAACAAUAUAGAGCCAACUAGUAAAAUGAUUCAAACCUUGCUCGCAACGAGUCCGAUUCGUUAUUAGCUGCAUUGCAAAAUUAGUUCUGUUUUAAUCUGUUGUUCAUUAACAUUAUUAGAAUAUGGAUGUCGAUGGUGUCGAACGGUUAGUAGACGCACCGGUGGUUUCGAACGAAAAGAAUGAGUCACA